ACCGUUUUCCAAAGUCCUUUCUUUUAAAACUGCGCCAAAAAUUUAGGAAGCUAUAUUUUCCAAUGUUUUUUUUCGCAACGGUUAGACCGAAAUGGUACAUUGUAUUAGUCGACAGCUCGAUGUUAGAAACUGAUGAACGCACAAUUACUCCUGUCAGUGUAGUCGGAUGGAUCCGGUUGCAAAUGUUUUAAAAGUGAAGCGUUUUAAAGAGAAGUGUUUCAAAUGACGAAGUGGGAAUAAAAUAUAUUUUUCGCGAGUGCAGCAUGGACCGAAUCUUUUAGUGAUGUUGCAGUGCGACAGGUUACACCAGCUCUGCACCCCUUAAACUCCUUCAUACUUCUCCUGCUGCCAUUGACUUUAAGCGAAUUGCUAAUAUUUAAACAAUCUGACGACCGGUCACUUCUCCUCGAUGUCACUUAGAAACAGGGACGCUGUACGCUGGAUGAACUGAGCAGGUCGGGCAGCAUCAGUGGAAACAAUGAGUCAACGUUUCGGGCCGGAACCCUUCGUCAGGACUGAAGAAUGAAGGAGGUGGAAGGAUUUGAAAAAUGCUUAUUCUUCAUGAUGAAAUUAAACAGAUGUGAAGAGACAUGAAUGUAGUUUUAACCUACUGAGAAGGAAAUGUCUAUAAAAAGGAAAGGACUAUGGUUGUGCUGAAGAGGUGGAGGAGAACGCAAGAAGUGCACGCCAUUUGAAGACACCGUCAACUGAAGGAGAAGUGGACUUACAGAAGCAUGACAACACCAUAAUGGUUUCAGCCCCACUAUUAAUUAUGGUGGCUGGGGUCCUGUUAGAGUCUGUGAUCUACAGCUGCAGCUCAAACUACGGUUCUCCACAGGCAGUGGGUUCUCAUUCUCUGACUCGCCGAGCGGCCUGGUGUUUCAAUAUCUCCUGGUGAGGCCUGGAAGACGUGUGCCUUCGGGGUGCGGCCCCGUGGAUGAUCCAGUUCCUCGCCGAUGUCACUGAUUGAAGCAUUGGGGGAUAUUGAAACUUAGAGACAGCAGGCAGAAGGCCCCUGCACUCACUCUUUCUCUCUCUCCCUCUCGAUGGUGAGUCAGUCUGUUGGUCCUUGAGUCGGGGGACUCAGAGAAGUGACACGGCAGAUUGUAAUAUCAAAACAGCGAGCUGCUGGUCUCCUGCUCUCAUUUGCUGCUGGAGUGAUAUAUCUCUCCCCCUUGCUAGUGAGAGACAGCCUGUCUGAGAUAUUGAAGUGUUGGGAUGGAGAGUACUGUUUUGAUGAUCUUGAUCAUGGUCUCUUUGGGGGCUUUGCUGUUGCUUGCAUGGUAUGGGGAGGGAUCGGUGCUUUUGCUGGAGCAAAUUGGCGGGAGGAAGAGGGGCAGGGUUAACAUUUUUGCUGCGGCUUGUGCGUGGAAGGGGGUCUAUGGGGUUCUGACGUUUCUGUCAUUCAUUGGGUUUUCUUCUAUUU